GGGACAUUUCAGCAGUCAUUUUGGACAAGAGCAGUAAAGUAUGCCUUAUGUGGCUGGAGUGAAAAUUAGGAACAGCAAGAGUGGCAAAGCACUGGCUGUCCAUGGAGUCUUUAGGAGCAACGGGAGAAGACGCUUUCAGCACAAAUGCUUCUGAGUGUGAUGUUCUCUCAGAGGGGGAAACUUCUGAUGUACCUUCCCCAGUUUUGAAUGAGAAACAGGGAACCUCUUGGGAAGAAAAUGCAGAGUUACCAGGAGACAAUGCCUCUUCUUGUAAGUGUGUUCCAGUGAACUCAGAUGUACCUUCAUCACCAUGUGUCAACAGAGAAAUUGUACUCCAGCAACAGCAGCAGCAGCAAAAAGCUAUAACACUGAAGGUAAUUAUGGUGAACCGUAAAACUGGGCUUCCUAAUGCUGAACUGCAGAGAUAUUUAAGAAAACAACUCCGUCUUCUGGAGAAUGACAACCAGAAAGCCUGGACAGUUUUUAGUGUAAGUUAUUUUUGUGUUUAUAUAUAUGUGUGUGUAUAUGUGCAUUCAACUUGCCUCUUGACUUAUGGUAACCCUUGUAAAUUUCAUAAAGUUUUCUUAGGAAAGGAAUACUCAGAGAUGGUUUUGCCAGUUCCUCCCUACAAAAUAGAGCCUACAGGCCUGGUACUCAUUGGUAGUCUCUCAUCCAAGUACUGACCUAUUUAACUACCACUUUUUUAUAUAAUUGUAAUUGGAUUAGAAUUCAGCUUUCGUUUCUUCUUAGUCGUAUAGUCCUAUAAACUAAUUCCUUCUCACUUGGAUUUCAAC
rnacentral:lncRNA from 11 species